rnacentral:rRNA from 1 species
GAGUUUGAUUCUGGCUCAGGAUGAACGCUGGCGGCGUGCCUAAUACAUGCAAGUCGAGCGAGAAGCUUGGAAAUGACGCUUCGGUUGAUUUUCCAAGCGGACAGCGGCGGACGGGUGAGUAACGCGUAGGCAACCUGCCCCUGACAGAGGGAUAGCCAUUGGAAACGAUGAUUAAAACCUCAUGACACCGUAGUAGCACAUGCUACAUCGGUCAAAGAUUUAUCGGUCAGGGAUGGGCCUGCGUCUGAUUAACUGGUUGGUGAGGUAACGGCUCACCAAGGUGACGAUCAGUAGCCGACCUGAGAGGGUGAUCGGCCACAUUGGAACUGAGACACGGUCCAAACUUCUACGGAAGGCAGCAGUAGGGAAUCUUGCACAAUGGGCGAAAGCCUGAUGCAGCAACGCCGCGUGAAGGAUGAAGCCUUCGGGUUGUAAACUUCUGUUCUAAGGGAAGAAAGAAAUGACG